rnacentral:miRNA from 1 species
AUAUAAGUCACCUGGGGAUCUUGUUAAAUGCAGAUUCUGGUUCAGGGGGUUUUGGGUGGGACUUAAGAUUGAUUCUGCAGUUCUAAAAAAUCUUUAGGUGAUUCUGAU